UACGGAAGGCAGCAGGGGGGAAUAUUGCACAAUGGGCGCAAGCCUGAUGCAGCCAUGCCGCGUGUAUGAAGAAGGCCUUCGGGUUGUAAAGUACUUUCAGUCGUGAGGAAGGUGUUAAGGUUAAUAACCUUAGCAAUUGACGUUAGCGACAGAAGAAGCACCGGCUAACUCCGUGCCAGCAGCCGCGGUAAUACGGAGGGUGCGAGCGUUAAUCGGAAUUACUGGGCGUAAAGGGCACGCAGGCGGUUAAUUAAGUUGGAUGUGAAAUCCCCGGGCUUAACCUGGGAAUGGCAUUCAAGACUGGUUAGCUAGAGUCUUGUAGAGGGGGUAGAAUUCCAUGUGUAGCGGUGAAAUGCGUAGAGAUGUGGAGGAAUACCGGUGGCGAAGGCGGCCCCUGGACAAAGACUGACGCUCAUGUGCGAAAGCGUGGGGAGCGAAACAGGGAUU
rnacentral:rRNA from 1 species